GCCUGGGUGGCUCAGUCGGUUGAGCAUCCGACUUCGGCUCAGGUCAUGAUCUCGCGGUCUGUGAGUUCGAGUCCCGCGUCGGGCU
rnacentral:tRNA from 1 species